rnacentral:misc_RNA from 1 species
GUUGGACAUUAAUAUGAACUUCGGACGGAUCCACACCAAAUGCAUUAUCAAUAAAAGUUGGGCAGUUGUGCUUGUAUGCAAUAGUUACAUCAUAAACUGCAUCUAAAGAGCUCCUCAAACCUUCCACACAAGCAUAAAAUCCUUUUGUUUUGGGAAUAAGAACAUUGUUAAGGAUUGGCAGUCCAUUCUCAGCAGCAAAUUGUUGACUUUUUAUGCAUUUCUG